CUGCCACCAGGUAUCUCCAUUCUGCCCUCAUGCCAUUUCCUGGGCUAGGCAGAAUACAUUCUCUUGCCCGCUUCCUAACUCGGGCAUCCCGUGCGAGGCAGAGACGGCCAGGCGUAACUUUGGAACCUGCCUCGUGGAGAAGGGGAAUCCCGAGUGUCGGCACUCAGUUCUGCCCUCGGGGCUGGCACCCUCAUUUCCAAAGGAUGCCCAGGGGUCGGUCAGUUUCCGCACCGGAAGCAGAUGACUUGGAAUCAGCUCUCAGGAAAGGAGAACUCCUUGUGCCUGACAGCACAGGCCAUGGGGAACGUGGGAGAAAGAGGCCAGUUUGUUAAUAUUCCCCUUCUCUCCACCAGUCCUAAUUCAGAACUCAGCGAGGCAUUUGUUUUCAGUCGCACCAUCCACGUGAGAGGAAGAGAGAAAUACACCCCCGUCUUCCACCUGCCAGUGAAGCGAUGAGAUGCCGGGCUGAUGGGCUCAUUAAGAGGCUUCUGUGUCAGAGUUGGUCUGGUAUCACUCCAAGGACUUAAGUGUGGGUAGGACGGGGCUUCCUGCCUGAUCACGAAGAAGUGAUGGAGACAGAGAACCUGUGUUCCGUCUGAGAUCCGGCUCCCUUUUAUUUCUCCAGCGGAAGUGGGUGAGGGUGGGCUGGCGUUAAGGAAGAGCUGUUUGCUUGCAAAUGCAGCCGCUGGUGACAAAGGAAAGAGUGAGGGAGUGGAUAGCUCCAAAGGAGCCUUGGCGCUCCUGCACGGAACAGCGACCCUGGGUGCACCCUUCAAGCAGGUGCCCUUCUCCUCUCCUCUCCUCAGACUCAGCCAUCCACGGCUGUGAGGACAGCUGGUCCUGCCUUCCCUGGACUGUCCCCUCCAGCCAACAUAAAGCCUGAGAUAACACGAAGAUGCUGAGAUUAUACCAGGAGCAGCUUCCGUAACGGCACCGUGAACCCAAGGAGCCCUCUCUGUGGGGCACUGCUGACUCCCGAGGUCAGAACCCCUGCAUGGUGGGUGGGGAAGCCCCCUCCCCCAGCUACUCCUCCAGCCCUGACCCAGGUUUCCUGCUCUGCUGCUGUGGCCAGACGCCACGCCAGACUGGAAGAGAAGCCUGGCUCAGUCAGGAUCCCUGACAAGGAGGACACAGCUACUCCAUGCCCAAGUCCUAGGUGCUUUGUGCUCAGCCUUCACCACAAAGGCCCGACGGCCCAGGUAUUGAUCUACAGCAUAUGGAGAAGUGCUUUAUGUGAAUUUACACUUCAAUGUAAGACAACAGGGAUGGCCCCAUACUAGGCAUCACCUGGUUGGCCCAAUAGGUAUCACUAAGACUAGGAAGCUAAUCACUGAAUAUAAUGAGAAUAAAGAUAGAGUAAAUUCUAUUUUUGUUUAAAUGUAUAUGUAUUUCAAUAUAGGAAUAUAGCAGGAAAAAGUCUUAAAUUGCUAAAAUGUUAAAAACCAUUAUCUCCUGGUAGUUGGAUUUUGCUUGACUGAGAGAAUUUUUCUCCUUGUUUUUCUCUGUAUUUUGUCAUUUUCUCACAAUAAAUGUAUUCUACUGUACUCUUUUUAAAAUAAAGGAAGAUAAAGAACAUUGAGGAAGUAAUUAAA